AGGACGAACGCUGGCGGCGCGCUUAACACAUGCAAGUCGAGCGAGAACCAGUCCUUCGGGACUGGGGACAGCGGCGAACGGGUGAGUAACACGUGGGUAAUCUGCCCUCGAUUCUGGGAUAGCCCGGGGAAACCCGGAUUAAUACCGGAUAGCCUCUCGAGCUUUCGAGCUCGUGAGAAAAGGUAGCUUCGGCCUCCGAUCGAGGAUGAGCCCGCGGCGGAUUAGCUUGUUGGUGGGGUAAUGGCCUACCAAGGCGACGAUCCGUAGCUGGUCUGAGAGGACGAUCAGCCACACUGGGACUGAGACACGGCCCAGACUCCUACGGGAGGCAGCAGGUGGGGAAUCUUGCGCAAUGGGACGAAAGCCUGACGCAGCGACGCCGCGUGGGGAAGAGGCCUUCGGUUGUAAACCUCUUUCAGCAGGACGAAGCCGACGUCGGUUAAUAGCCCGAGGAGGGUGAACGGUACCUGACAGAAGAACGGCCCCCCGGACUAACGUACGUGACCGAGCCAGCCCGACGGUAA
rnacentral:rRNA from 1 species